UUCAAGUGAAAUGCAGAAAACCAAAGGUGAAGGAUGCCCUGUUACAACUUCUUCCUCAAACAAAGGCUGUAAGGAAAGAAAUAUCCAACCUGACGUGAAGUUCAAAGGCCAUAAUGGCUCUCAAGGAACUCACAUUGAACCCAAGUCUUUACCAUCAUGCUGGAGAUAGCUGUGAGAAGCUCAUGGCCGAUCCCUGCCAAGGAUAUUUCCUUAACCUCAAUACCUGCGUUUUUUCCCAAAUACAACGGAGGGUGUGCUGUAAUCACGUCUUCAUGGGCAAUGAGGAAUAAUUGAAAACCAUAGCCAUGUAAACAGCAGGGCACCACCUGGAUUUAGUUAAACAUCCGAAAUAAGUGUGAAUUGACUGAAGAGUAGAUUGAUGUCGAUGACUGCUAGACAGAUGGAUGUGCCUACACAAACAGGGCUUAGUGGUCUCUGUAAUGAAGCUAA